GAUGGUACGUAGCAUUCGCCCUUUGCACCACCGUUCUGACUGAAGAUUUUAUUUCAAGGACUUUCUGUUCCACCUACCAAGGACAAGUUUACUGCUCGUCGGGAUUCAGACGAAAAUACCCUUUAGAUAAAAUCGAGGCAUUUAUUGACCAAAAUAAGGCAUUGGUUGAACGUUUAUAUGGAGGGUUUUCAUCAGAUUACCAAUUUUCAGGAGGCUUUAAGCGAAAACGGGAAAGCAUUCUGAAAUAAAUCAAUAUAAAAAGACCAAGAAGAAUAACGACAUUGUUUUGUAAAUUAUAUCAAAUGGAAACAAUAAAAAGUAGAACAUUUACUAUAAGUAAGUCUCAAAUAUA